UGUUGCAGUUAAAAGCUCGUAGUUGGAUCUAGGGACGCGCAUUUCAAGCGCCCGUGCCAUCGGGUCAAACCGGUGGCUGCGUUGGCGUUGCGGGCUCGGUCCGUCGGUGCCCCACAAAGGGCUAUCGGCGUGUCAACCGGCCCGCCCGUCCCCUCCUUCUGGAUUCCCGUUCCUGCUAUUGAGUUAGUGGGGACGUCACAGGGGGUCCAUCGUCGUGCGGCGUCAAAACCGUGCGGCGGUGGGUCCCUGGGGCCCAGAUCGUUUACCGUGAAAAAAUUAGAGUGUUCAAAGCAGGCAGAUCCAAUUUUCUGCCACCGAAUACAUUAGCAUGGGAUAAUGGAAUAGGACCCUGUCCUCCUAUUUUCAGUUGGUUUUGGCAGCGCGAGGACUAGGGUAAUGAUUAAUAGGGAUAGUUGGGGGCAUUAAUAUUUAAUUGUCAGAGGUGAAAUUCUUGGAUUUAUGAAAGAUUAACUUCUGCGAAAGCAUCUGCCAAGGAUGUUUUCAUUAAUCAAGAACGAAAGUUAGGGGAUCGAAGACGAUCAGAUACCGUCGUAGUCUUAACCAUAAACGAUGCCGACCAGCGAUUAGGAGACGUUGAAUACAAAACACCACCAUCGGUGCGGUCGUCCUUGGCGUCUCGGUCCUUCACGGGGCCGGGGCGCGGGGGUGGCUUAGCCCGGUGGCACCGGUGAAUGACUCCCCUAGCAGCUUGUGAGAAAUCAUAAGUCUUUGGGUUCCGGGGGGAGUAUGGUCGCAAGGCUGAAACUUAAAGGAAUUGACGGAAGG
rnacentral:rRNA from 1 species